rnacentral:rRNA from 1 species
AUGGAGCUGUCUAACAAAAGCAGACUUUAUGGUUUGAAGAUGACAUGUAUGCAAUGUGUGGUCUGCACUGAUGAGACGUUGGAGGGGCAAGUACUGCACUUGGUUCAGUGCAUAUACAAGAUGGUAGAAAAAAGGGGCACCAUUAUUGAUGGCAAGUCAAUUGCAGAGGACAUAAAGUUACUGAUUGCUGAACAAUUUCGUCGAAUGAAAAAGGCAGUUGCACAUGUUCCUGGAUUAGCUAUUGUAUUGGUAGGCGAUAGAAGGGACUCUCAAUCCCAUGUGGGAUUUAAACUGAAGGGUUGUGAGGAAGAUGGGAUAAAAUCUUUGUUGUCGGAGUUGCGUUAG